AGACUUGCCUGGCAGAGGGGGUACCGUGAUCACAAAGGUGGUUUUCCCAGGGCAAGGCUUAUCCGUUUCUGUAUUAGUCCAUUCUUCACAUCACUGUAAAGAAUGCCUGAGACGGGGUAAUUUAUGAAGAAGGUUAAUUGACUC
rnacentral:snRNA from 1 species